rnacentral:misc_RNA from 1 species
UGCCAUGUGUAUGCAGGUUAC